GCUGGGUGUGGUGGGGCACACCUGUAGUCCAGCCACUCGGGAGGCUGAGGCAGGAGGAUCGCUUGAGCCCUGGAGUUCUGGGCUGUAGCGUGCUAUGCCAAUCAGGUGUUCACACUAAGUUCAGCAUCAACAUGGUGGCCUCCUGGGAGCAGGGGACCACCAGGUUGACUAAGGAGGGGUGAACUGGCCUCUGCUGGAAACGGAGGUCAAAACUCCCAUGCUGAUUGGUAGUAUGAUCGUGCCUGUAAAGAGCCACUGAACUCUAGCCUGAGCAACACAACGAGACCCCAUCUCU
ensembl:misc_RNA Metazoa_SRP Metazoan signal recognition particle RNA